rnacentral:rRNA from 1 species
AGAGUUUGAUCCUGGCUCAGAUUGAACGCUGGCGGCGUGCCUAACACAUGCAAGUCGAGCGGUAACAGGUGUAGCAAUACAUGCUGACGAGCGGCGAACGGGUGAGUAAUGCUUUGGAAUCUUCCCAGUAGUGGGGAAUAACCAGUCGAAAGAUUGGCUAAUACCGCAUACGUCUGUAAAGGGAAAGCGGGGGCUCGUAAGACCUCGCGCUAUUGGAUGAGCCAAAGUCGGAUUAGCUAGUUGGUGGGGUAAUGGCCUACCAAGGCGACGAUCCGUAGCUGGUCUGAGAGGACGACCAGCCACACCGGAACUGAGACACGGUCCGGACUCCUACGGGAGGCAGCAGUGGGGAAUAUUGGACAAUGGGGGAAACCCUGAUCCAGCGACGCCGCGUGUGUGAAGAAGGCCUGCGGGUUGUAAAGCACUUUUAGUGGGGACAAAAAGCUACGGAUUAAUACUCUGUGGUCUUGAUUUAACCCAAAGAAAAAGCACCGGCUAACUCUGUGCCAGCAGCCGCGGUAAUACAGAGGGUGCGAGCGUUAAUCGGAAUUACUGGGCGUAAAGCGCGCGUAGACGGUUUUGUAAGUCAGAUGUGAAAUCCCUGGGCUCAACCUGGGAACUGCAUUUGAGACUGCAUGGCUAGAGUAUCGAAGAGGGAAGUGGAAUUUCCGGUGUAGCGGUGAAAUGCGUAGAUAUCGGAAGGAACACCAGUGGCGAAAGCGACUUCCUGGUCGAAUACUGACGUUCAUGUGCGAAAGCGUGGGGAGCAAACAGGAUUAGAUACCCUGGUAGUCCACGCCAUAAACGAUGACAACUAGAUGUUGGGAGGGUCUGCCUCUCGGUGUCGCAGCUAACGCGUUAAGUUGUCCGCCUGGGGAGUACGGCCGCAAGGUUGAAACUUAAAGGAAUUGACGG